rnacentral:rRNA from 1 species
UAGAUCCUACGGGACGCAGCAGUGAGGAAUAUUGGUCAAUGGGCUUACGCCUGAACCAGCCAAGUCGCGUGAGGGAAGACUGCCCUAUGGGUUGUAAACCUCUUUUGUCAGGGAGCAACGCCGGCUACGUGUAGCCGGACUGAGAGUACCUGAAGAAAAAGCAUCGGCUAACUCCGUGCCAGCAGCCGCGGUAAUACGUAGGUGGCAAGCGUUGUUCGGAAUAACUGGGCGUAAAGGAUGCGUAGGCGGUUAAACAAGUUAUAUGUUAAA